GAAUAUUGGACAAUGGGCGCAAGCCUGAUCCAGCCAUGCCGCGUGUGUGAAGAAGGCCUUCGGGUUGUAAAGCACUUUCAGCGAGGAGGAAGGGGUUGUUGUUAAUAGCAACAAUUUUUGACGUUACUCGCAGAAGAAGCACCGGCUAACUCCGUGCCAGCAGCCGCGGUAAUACGGAGGGUGCAAGCGUUAAUCGGAAUUACUGGGCGUAAAGCGCACGUAGGCGGUUUGUUAAGCCAGCUGUGAAAUCCCCGGGCUCAACCUGGGAAUUGCAGUUGGAACUGGCAAGCUAGAGUAUGGUAGAGGGGUGUGGAAUUUCAGGUGUAGCGGUGAAAUGCGUAGAUAUCUGAAGGAACAUCAGUGGCGAAGGCGACACCCUGGAUCAAUACUGACGCUGAGGUGCGAAAGCGUGGGGAGCAAACAGG
rnacentral:rRNA from 1 species